rfam:Trichobilharzia regenti genome assembly, scaffold: TRE_scaffold0000489
UUACUGAUGAAGAGUCCAAAACUAGAACGAAACAGCUGUCCAGUAC